UGGAUUCUGCUAAUUCCUGUUUUAUCAGAGUCACUGUGGUUACAGCUGCUAAUGAAACACUGUGGGAGGAUUCACAUGAGCAGCAAAUCCACAUCAACCACAAACCAACACUUUAUAUCAGCAUCAACAGUCAGGAAGUUUUUUUGAUAUUAAAGGUAUUUUUUUCUUUCAAAAUAAAGUUCUUCCAAAGAGUGCUGCACAUCUUCACACAGAUUUAAAUCCCACCUUCAGUCGAGCUCCUUCCUGGUUUUACCUGCUUUGGUCCAACUGUGCUGUGAAGAACUGAAACUGAACAUUCAGCAAACAUUUCUCUGAGGCAGAAAUAAUUGCACUGACUGACAUGAAAAUGUUUCUGACUCCACCCACUGAUGCUGAUCUCAACCAAUGAAAUGAUUUCUGUCUACAGAAGUCAAAGCACAACCAGCCUGAUGUUGAGGAGAAGGACUGCAGCAGAGAGGCUGCUUAGUUUCUUCAUUCUGCUGUCUGACUAACCCAACAACUAAAGACAUGCUGCUUUACCUCAUUUUACUUUUCUCUCAUAUCAGAGAGUGUAAAGGAGAAGACAAAGUGACCCAGGAACAAGGAGAUGUCAUUGCUGCUGAAGGAGACACAGUUAUACUUGGAUGUAGAUUUGAGACCAGUGACUCCAGUCCAUAUUUGUUCUGGUACAAACAAGAAGUAAAUAGUUACCCAAAGUAUAUGCUGCAAUCUAUCUCAACAUCAACAGUUAAGGCUGCAGAAUUCAACAACGACAGAUUUGAUGCUAAAAUCAACCAGAAAUCAGUUCCUCUGAAGAUCCAGAAGCUUCAGCUGUCUGACUCUGCUGUGUACUACUGUGCUCUGCAGCCCACAGUGACAGGAAACACCAAAACUCUGUACAAAAACCUUUGGAGCAAAGACAACAGAAUACUCCACAACAUCCACUAGAGGGAGCCACACACUGUUAAACCUCUGCCCUGUUUUGUUUGUUGUAGUGACAAUUUAAGUGAAUAAUGUUUACGGUGUUAAACAUUAACACACUAAUGUUAAAUAACAGAAAAUAUUGUGGGAAUUAUAUUCAAUACUUUAAAUACAGCAGCAGAGGAAGUGAU